rnacentral:rRNA from 1 species
AUACGUAGGGUGCAAGCGUUAAUCGGAAUUACUGGGCGUAAAGCGUGCGCAGGCGGUUUUGUAAGACAGUGGUGAAAUCCCCGGGCUCAACCUGGGAACUGCCAUUGUGACUGCAAGGCUGGAGUGCGGCAGAGGGGGGUGGAAUUCCGCGUGUAGCCGUGAAAUGCGUAGAUAUGCGGAGGAACACCGAUGGCGAAGGCAAUCCCCUGGGCCUGCACUGACGCUCAUGCACGAAAGCGUGGGGAGCAAACAGGAUUAGAUACCCUGGUAGUCCACGCCCUAAACGAUGUCAACUGGUUGUUGGGGAUUUAUUUUCUCAGUAACGAAGCUAACGCGUGAAGUUGACCGCCUGGGGAGUACGGCCGCAAGGUUAAAACUCAAAGGAAUCGACGGGG